CCUGGAAUUUGCCUUUUCAAGGCCACCUGUCCUAUCAUCCCCUCCAUCCCUCCAGGCUGCCAUGAUCCUCCCUCUGAACCCCAUGGUCAGUGUCGCUGCAGAGAUCCUCCCUUUGGACCCUGCCUGCCUGAAGGGCCCAUACCUUGAUCAGACGUCUUAGAACGACUGCCCUUAGCCAUGUCAUAAAAAGGAGAAAACAUCAUAUUUGACAACCCCAAUUCCUGCAUUAUACAGACAGGAAACUCAGGUGCACUUCACCACACGCUUCUCAGUUGCGUGGAUGCACAUCUCCACUUCUUUGCAGGGAGGACGAACAACAGCAGAAUACCCGUGGCCUGACUUUCUGGAGCAUCAGUAUUACUACAAGAUUUGGAAAAACCAAAGUUAGGUCAUUUCCAAGAGCCUACCCAUAGACAAAGCCAAGAUUUAAUCUGCAAGAGUCUGCCAGGCACUCUGUGGUCCAUGGGAAUCCCUCAAGUUGGCAGCCUGUUCCCUUGUGUCCUGUGCUGGUGUUCAAUCUUCCAUCUCUUCAGGGUACCACUAGACAGAGGCCUAUCAGAUCCUCAAGGGACUUGACA